rnacentral:rRNA from 1 species
GAUGAACGCUAGCGGCAGGCUUAAUACAUGCAAGUCGAGGGGCAGCAUGAUUGUAGCAAUACAAUUGAUGGCGACCGGCAAACGGGUGCGGAACACGUACACAACCUUCCAAUAAGUGGGGAAUAGCCCAGAGAAAUUUGGAUUAAUACCCCGUAACAUAACGAUGUGGCAUCACAUUGUUAUUAUAGAUUUUUCGCUUAUUGAUGGGUGUGCGGCUGAUUAGAUAGUUGGCGGGGUAACGGCCCACCAAGUCUACGAUCAGUAGCUGAUGUGAGAGCGUGAUCAGCCAGCCGGGCACUGGGACACGGGCCCGACUCCUACGGGAGGCAGCAGUAAGGAAUAUUGGACAAUGGACGCAAGUUUGAUCCAGCCAUGCCGCGUGAAGGAUUAAGGUCCUCUGGAUUGUAAACUUCUUUUAUAAGGGACGAAAAAAGGCUUUUCUAAGUCGUCUGACGGUACCUUAUGAAUAAGCACCGGCUAACUCCGUGCCAGCCGCCGCAGUAAAAC